ensembl:snoRNA small nucleolar RNA SNORA65
CCCGCCACUAUACCUGCCUGCAUGGUGACUGGUAUGCUCCAGUGGGGGCCUGCAUAGACCCAGCUCUAGGAAGCAGGGCUGCCCCAACUGAUGGGCAACUCUGUGCCAAAAGGCCUGGAACAUGC